GAUGAACGCUGGCGGCGUGCUUAACACAUGCAAGUCGAACGGAAAGGCCCAAGCUUGCUUGGGUACUCGAGUGGCGAACGGGUGAGUAACACGUGGGUGAUCUGCCCUGCACUUCGGGAUAAGCCUGGGAAACUGGGUCUAAUACCGGAUAGGACGAUGGUUUGGAUGCCAUUGUGGAAAGUUUUUUCGGUGUGGGAUGAGCUCGCGGCCUAUCAGCUUGUUGGUGGGGUAAUGGCCUACCAGGGCGUCGACGGGUAGCCGGCCUGAGAGGGUGUACGGCCACAUUGGGACUGAGAUACGGCCCAGACUCCUACGGGAGGCAGCAGUGGGGAAUAUUGCACAAUGGGCGCAAGCCUGAUGCAGCGACGCCGCGUGGGGGAUGACGGCCUUCGGGUUGUAAACUCCUUUCGCUAGGGACGAAGCGUUUUGUGACGGUACCUGGAGAAGAAGCACCGGCUAACUACGUG
rnacentral:rRNA from 1 species